rnacentral:rRNA from 1 species
GAUGAACGCUGGCGGCGUGCUUAAGACAUGCAAGUCGAACGGAGUGUGUAGCAAUACUCACUAAGUGGCGAAUGGGUGAGUAACACGUAGGUGACCUGCCCUGAAGUGCGGAAUAACAGUCCGAAAGGAUUGCUAAUACCGCAUGUGGUCCCGGGCGUUAGAGAACCGGGUCUAAAGCAGUAAUGCGCUUCAGGAGGGGCCUGCGGUCCAUCAGCUAGUU